rnacentral:lncRNA from 1 species
CCACUGUCCCUCAGGAAAGAGAACACGAAAACUGGAACUCUCUGCAGAAAGGAGGAUCCCAAAGAAGGGGCCAAGCUGUACAUUUAUCAAUCAGGAAAGCCACUCCACCCUCCAUGGCAGCCCCUACAAUUUGAAACAACACGACAGAUCAAUUCCUGCUGGCAUUAUAGUUCUUUAACUAUCAUAGCUUCUCUGAUUUUUCAACACAUCUGUCAUCCGUAUUCUGCAGGCAUAGCCAACUCUGUCAGUGUCUCCUCAGGCAAUCAGAAUCAACAGACAGAAUGUAGGACAGAAAACUGGCUGCAAACAUGUUGGAAGGGCUGGAGGAGCGAAAGAGGGAAGAUCUGUUACCUAGAGAUAGUAACUUCCAGAAGUUACCACUAUACUAGUGCAGGAGAAGCAGAAAGGAAGAUGCUGCUACCCAGAGCCCACAGUCAUUGUGCCCCUGAUGCCGCUGGAACCCCACUGCAGCUGCUUUACAGGAAGCAGGGAAUUAGCGCUCUUGCUGAUGCUACAGGUAUCCAGGAUCCAAAAGUCAUCAGCCGCUGUCCCUGUUGCAGCCUAGGGAAACUGUCCCACUGAGGUUGUUGGGGUACCUGCUACUGCAUCUACUGUCUGAACCAUGUUGCCUGAGCAGAUGUCCAGGGCUCAGGCUUGCCUGCUGCUGUUACUGCUGCCACCAUGUUUAUCAGAGCUACUUCAAGAAGAGAAGAAAUCCUCCUCAUUUCCAGUUUUUUCCAGUGCCUCCCAUUGCUUCCCAGAAUGCCAAAUUCUCUUUGAGAGACAGCUGAAAGGAAGGUUUGGAAAAGACUCUGGUGUAAGCAGAUUCUGCUUCCCUGCAAUAGGGGGAAAGCAUAGGGUGGAACUGGAGCUGAGAGCUAAUCACGAAUGAGCAAAUCAGUCUUCAAGACAUUUACCUUUCCUUGAAACGUUUCCCUUCUUUUACCGUGUUUUCCAUGUCAUUAUUUUUCCACAAUUCUGCAUCAUAUUCUGUUAACUAUUAAUGCCCUGGAUAAGUUUAUUUGCUCUUUCUUAGGGUUAAUUUUUCUCCUUUUCUUCGAAGCUUUAGUUUGCAGGUUCAGCUUGUGUGGGAAUUUUCAUCUCCCUCCUCUUCAAGACUCCUUGGAUAUCAGUUUUUUGGUUGCCUUCACCAACUCUCCCCCCACCAUCUCUAGACCAGGGCAUGGUCUUAGUUGGUGGCUUGGACUCCUGUGGCUUGGAGUCUUUGGGGAUAUUAGAGAUCCAGUCACUGAGCUGGCAAAGGGAACACUGUCCUUGCUUCCAGCUUUAUGAAGAACGCUUUGCUCUGUCACCCCACGUAAAUAAUCAUGUUAUUCA